UACGAAGGGGGCUAGCGUUGCUCGGAAUCACUGGGCGUAAAGCGCACGUAGGCGGAUUGUUAAGUCAGGGGUGAAAUCCUGGAGCUCAACUCCAGAACUGCCUUUGAUACUGGCGAUCUUGAGUCCGGGAGAGGUGAGUGGAACUGCGAGUGUAGAGGUGAAAUUCGUAGAUAUUCGCAAGAACACCAGUGGCGAAGGCGGCUCACUGGCCCGGGUACUGACGCUGAGGUGCAAAAGCGUGGGGAGCAAACAGG
rnacentral:rRNA from 1 species